rnacentral:rRNA from 1 species
GUGAGGAAUAUUGCGCAAUGGAGGCAACUCUGACGCAGCCAUGCCGCGUGCAGGAAGAAGGCGCUACGCGUUGUAAACUGCUUUUAACCGGGAAGAAACCCCAGGACGUGUCCUGGGUUGACGGUACCGGAGGAAUAAGCACCGGCUAACUUCGUGCCAGCAGCCGCGGUAAUACGAAGGGUGCAAGCGUUAUCCGGAUUCAUUGGGUUUAAAGGGUGCGUAAGCGGAGCGUUAAGUCAGUGGUUAAAUCCUGCAGCUUAACUGUAGACUUGCCAUUGAGACUGGCGCUCUUGAGUGCGCUUGAAGUGGGCGGAAUGUGCCGUGUAGCGGUGAAAUGCUUAGAUAUGGCACAGAACACCAAUUGCGAAGGCAGCUCACUAAGGCGAUACUGACGCUGAGGCACGAAAGCGUGGGGAUCGAACAGGAUUAGAAACCCGAGUAGUCC